rnacentral:sRNA from 1 species
AUGGCUGUCGUCAGCUCGUGUCGUGAGAUGUUGGGUUAAGUCCCGCAACGAGCGCAACCCCUGUCCCUAGUUGCCAGCAUUCAGUUGGGCACUCUAGGGAGACUGCCGGUGAUAAGCCGGAGGAAGGUGGGGAUGACGUCAAGUCCUCAUGGCCUUUAUGUCCAGGGCUACACACGUGUUACAAUGGGGGUGACAAAGAGUUGCCAAGCUGCGAAGCUGCGCAAAUCUCAAAAAAACCCUCUCAGUUCGGAUCGCAGUCUGCAACUCGACUGCGUGAAGUUGGAAUCGCUAGUAAUCGCGGAUCAGCACGCCGCGGUGAAUACGUUCCCGGGCCUUGUACACACCGCCCGUCACACCAUGGGAGUUGACAGGGGCAGAAGACGUUGAGCUAACCGCAAGGAGGCAGACGUCCAAGCUCUUGUCGAUGACUGGGGUGAAGUCGUAACAAGGUAGCCGUAGGAGAACCUGCGGCUGGAUCACCUCCUUUCUAAGGAAUCUUUGGAAAAAAAUAGUUGGGUACCUCGGUGCUUAGCUAGUUUGAGUCCAAGGCAAGUCGAAACAUUUCUGGAAAUUCGCCUCUUCACAUCAACCACCAAAGGGCCUGUAGCUCAGCUGGUUAGAGCGCACCCCUGAUAAGGGUGAGGUCGGUGGUUCAAGUCCACCUAGGCCCACCAUGGGGGAUUAGCUCAGCUGGGAGAGCGCCUGCUUUGCACGCAGGAGGUCAGCGGUUCGAUCCCGCUAUCCUCCACCAGGUUACUUUCUCGCUAUUUCUUCGCCGAAAUCAAUAUAAGAUCUUUUGAAAAUUUAGCCAAAGCCUAUCCAGGUCUUAAUUUGGGGUAGACCCUUUGGAGAAUAGUAGUGGAUCCAGAGCAGAGUGUUGAGGAUUCCACGGAGAAGAUAGAGAAGAAGUCAAAUGAAAAGGGCACAGGGCGGAUGCCUUGGCUCCAGGAAGCGAUGAAGGACGUGGCAAGCUGCGAUAAGCCUCGGGAAGAAGCAAACAUUCUUUGAUCCGGGGAUUUCCGAAUGGGGAAACCCGG